GACUCAAAAGGGAAACAACCCAGACCGCCGGCUAAGGUCCCCAAUAACAGCUAAGUGGAAAACGAAGUGGAAAGGCCGUGACAACCAGGAAGUUGGCUUAGAAGCAGCCAUCCUUCAAAGAAAGCGUAAUAGCUCACUGGUCGAGUCCUUCUGCGCGGAAGAUGUAACGGGGCUAAGCUGUUAACCGAAGCCGCGGAUGCACUGGUUAUCCAGUGCGUGGUAGGGGAGCGUUCUGUAAGUCUGCGAAGGCGGUUCGAGAGGACUGCUGGAGAUAUCAGAAGUGCGAAUGCUGACAUGAGUAACGUUAAAGCAGGUGAAAAGCCUGCUCGCCGUAAGCCCAAGGAUUCCUGCUCUACGUUCAUCGGAGCAGGGUGAGUCGGCUCCUAAGGUCAGGCCGAAAGGCGUAGCCGAUGGGAAUCAGGUUAAUAUUCCUGAACCUGCGUCAGAUGCGAUGGGGGGACGGAGCAUGAAAGAUCAUCCGGGUGUUGGAUGUCCCGGUUGUUGAGCGUAGGAGGUCUGCAGGCAAAUCCGCAGACGCAUCUCCAAGGCAAAGACACGUGCCGCCACGGCGGCGAAGUGAUCGGAAGUGCUUCCAAGAAAAGCCUCUAAGCACCAGUCUGACGCGGACCGUACCGCAAACCGACACUGGUGGGCGAGCUGAAUAUGCUCAGGCGCUUGAGAGAACUCGGGAGAAGGAACUCGGCAAAUUGACACCGUAACUUCGGAAGAAGGUGUGCCGUAGUACCGUGAGAGGAGAGACACCUUGAGCGGGAAUCGGUCUCAGAGAAUAGGUGGCUGCGACUGUUUAUUAAAAACACAGCACUCUGCAAAGUCGAAAGACGACGUAUAGGGUGUGAUGCCUGCCCGGUGCUGGAAGAUUAAUUGAUGGGGUGAGAGCCCUUGAUCGAAGUCCCAGUAAACGGCGGCCGUAACUAUAACGGUCCUAAGGUAGCGAAAUUCCUUGUCGGGUAAGUUCCGACCUGCACGAAUGGCAUAACGAUGGCCACACUGUCUCCUCCCGAGACUCAGUGAAGUUGAAAUGUUUGUGAUGAUGCAAUCUACCCGCGGCUAGACGGAAAGACCCCAUGAACCUUUACUGCAGCUUUGCAUUGAACUGUGAACCGAUUUGUGUAGGAUAGGUGGGAGGCAGAGAAGAGUCCACGCCAGUGGUCUUGGAGCCGACCUUGAAAUACCACCCUGAUUUGUUUGCGGUUCUAACCACGGACAGUGAUCCUGUCUUGGGACCGUGCAUGGUAGGCAGUUUGACUGGGGCGGUCUCCUCCUAAAGGGUAACGGAGGAGUACGAAGGUACGCUAGGUACGGUCGGAAAUCGUGCUGAUAGUGCAAUGGCAAAAGCGUGCUUGACUGCGAGAGCAACAACUCGAGCAGAUGCGAAAGCAGGUCAUAGUGAUCCGGUGGCUCUGAAUGGAAGGGCCAUCGCUCAACGGAUAAAAGGUACUCUGGGGAUAACAGGCUGAUACCGCCCAAGAGUUCAUAUCGACGGCAAGGUUUGGCACCUCGAUGUCGGCUCAUCUCAUCCUGGGGCUGUAGUCGGUCCCAAGGGUAUGGCUGUUCGCCAUUUAAAGAGGUACGUGAGCUGGGUUUAAAACGUCGUGAGACAGUUUGGUCCCUAUCUGCCGUGGGCGUUGGAAGAUUGACGGGGGCUGCUCCUAGUACGAGAGGACCGGAGUGGACGCACCUCUGGUGUACCGGUUGUCACGCCAGUGGCAUUGCCGGGUAGCUAAGUGCGGAAGAGAUAACCGCUGAAAGCAUCUAAGCGGGAAACUUGCCUGAAGAUGAGUCUUCCCGGAGGUAAAACCUCCCUCAAGAGUCGUCCGAGACCAGGACGUCGAUAGGUCAGGUGUGUAAGCGCUGUGAGGCGUUGAGCUAACUGAUACUAAUUGCUCGUGAGGCUUGAUCCU
rnacentral:rRNA from 1 species